rnacentral:rRNA from 1 species
CAGUCGCCACGGUAAUACGGAGGGGGCUAGCGUUGUUCGGAAUUACUGGGCGUAAAGCGCACGUAGGCGGUUUUGUAAGUCAGAGGUGAAAGCCCGGAGCUCAACUCCGGAACUGCCUUUGAGACUGCAUCACUUGAACGUCGGAGAGGUGAGUGGAAUUCCGAGUGUAGAGGUGAAAUUCGUAGAUAUUCGGAAGAACACCAGUGGCGAAGGCGGCUCACUGGACGACUGUUGACGCUGAGGUGCGAAAGCGUGGGGAGCAAACAGGAUUAGAUACCCGCGUAGUCCCUGUCUCUUAUAC